GAUGAACGCUGGCGGCGUGCCUAAUACAUGCAAGUCGAGCGAACAGACGAGGAGCUUGCUCCUCUGACGUUAGCGGCGGACGGGUGAGUAACACGUGGAUAACCUACCUAUAAGACUGGGAUAACUUCGGGAAACCGGAGCUAAUACCGGAUAAUAUAUUGAACCGCAUGGUUCAAUAGUGAAAGACGGUUUUGCUGUCACUUAUAGAUGGAUCCGCGCCGCAUUAGCUAGUUGGUAAGGUAAAGGCUUACCAAGGCAACGAUGCGUAGCCGACCUGAGAGGGUGAUCGGCCACACUGGAACUGAGACACGGUCCAGGCUCCUACGGGAGGCAGCAGUAGGGAAUCUUCCGCAAUGGGCGAAAGCCUGACGGAGCAACGCCGCGUGAGUGAUGAAGGUCUUCGGAUCGUAAAACUCUGUUAUUAGGGAAGAACAAAUGUGUAAGUAACUAUGCACGUCUUGACGGUACCUAAUCAGAAAGCCACGGCUAACUACGUG
rnacentral:rRNA from 1 species